AUGGUGGUCACGUGCGGAAGCGCAAGUGAUCCGGCGGGUGAGCAGGAAUCAUGCCGGCAUCUCACAGCAGAAACAAGGCCGCGCAGACGGGCGGCUCGCUGCAGCGCCAGCGGUUUCAAAGCGCGAUCCCGCGACAGCAAAGGCGCAGCGGGUCGAUGGGACUUGGCGGAUCAGGGCGGCUUGUUGCUGGGCCAAACAACGGCGGCGGCACCAUGGCCAAGGAGUACUGAGGCGGCCGGCGGCAAGGCGAGUUGUGGAGGCGGGACUGACAAGGUGGUGGCUCGACCACGACAGAGGCGGAAAGCAGCCGCGGUCCACUCGGAUGGUGCCGCAAUUCUGCCGGGAUUGACCCGGGGUGGAGCUGAUUUUUGA
rnacentral:rRNA from 1 species